rnacentral:rRNA from 1 species
UACGUAGGGUGCGAGCGUUUGCCGGAAUUAUUGGGCGUAAAGAGCUCGUAGGCGGUUUGUUGCGUCGGCCGUGAAAACCUGCAGCUUAACUGUGGGCCUGCGGCCGAUACGGGCAGACUUGAGUUCGGUAGGGGAGACUGGAAUUCCUGGUGUAGCGGUUGAAAUGCGCAGAUAUCAGGAGGAACACCGGUGGCGAAGGCGGGUCUCUGGGCCGAUACUGACGCUGAGGAGCGAAAGCGUGGGAGCGAACAGG